UACGAAGGGGGCUAGCGUUGCUCGGAAUCACUGGGCGUAAAGGGUGCGUAGGCGGGUCUUUAAGUCAGGGUGAAAUCCUGGAGCUCAACUCCAGAACUGCCUUUGAUACUGAGGAUCUUGAGUUCGGAGAGGUGAGUGGAACUGCGAGUGUAGAGGUGAAAUUCGUAGAUAUUCGCAAGAACACCAGUGGCGAAGGCGGCUCACUGGCCCGAUACUGACGCUGAGGCACGAAAGCGUGGGGAGCAACAGG
rnacentral:rRNA from 1 species